AGAGUUUGAUCAUGGCUCAGAUUGAACGCUGGCGGCAGGCCUAACACAUGCAAGUCGAACGGAAACAUGUCUAGCUUGCUAGAUGAUGUCGAGUGGCGGACGGGUGAGUAAUACUUAGGAACAUGCCUUUGGGUGGGGGAUAACUAUUGGAAACGAUAGCUAAUACCGCAUAACGUCUACGGACCAAAGGGGGCGCUUGCGCUCUCGCCUAAAGAGUGGCCUAAGCGAGAUUAGCUUGUUGGUGAGGUAAAGGCUCACCAAGGCGACGAUCUCUAGCUGGUCUGAGAGGAUGAUCAGCCACACUGGGACUGAGACACGGCCCAGACUCCUACGGGAGGCAGCAGUGGGGAAUCUUGCACAAUGGAGGAAACUCUGAUGCAGCGAUGCCGCGUGAGUGAAGAAGGCCUUUGGGUUGUAAAGCUCUUUCGUCGGGGAAGAAAAUGACUGUACCCGAAUAAGAAGGUCCGGCUAACUUCGUGCCAGCAGCCGCGGUAAUACGAAGGGACCUAGCGUAGUUCGGAAUUACUGGGCUUAAAGAGUUCGUAGGUGGUUGAAAAAGUUGGUGGUGAAAUCCCAGAGCUUAACUCUGGAACUGCCAUCAAAACUUUUCAGCUAGAGUAUGAUAGAGGAAAGCAGAAUUUCUAGUGUAGAGGUGAAAUUCGUAGAUAUUAGAAAGAAUACCAAUUGCGAAGGCAGCUUUCUGGAUCAUUACUGACACUGAGGAACGAAAGCAUGGGUAGCGAAGAGGAUUAGAUACCCUCGUAGUCCAUGCCGUAAACGAUGUGUGUUAGACGUUGGAAAUUUAUUUUCAGUGUCGCAGGGAAACCGAUAAACACACCGCCUGGGGAGUACGACCGCAAGGUUAAAACUCAAAUGAAUUGACGGGGACCCGCACAAGUAGUGGAGCAUGUGGUUUAAUUCGAAGAUACGCGCAGAACCUUACCAACACUUGACAUGUUCGUCGCGACUCUAAGAGAUUAGAGUUUUCGGUUCGGCCGGACGAAACACAGGUGCUGCAUGGCUGUCGUCAGCUCGUGUCGUGAGAUGUUGGGUUAAGUCCCGCAACGAGCGCAACCCUCACUUUUAGUUGCCAUCAUUAAGUUGGGCACUCUGAAAGAACUGCCAGUGAUAAGCUGGAGGAAGGUGGGGAUGACGUCAAGUCCUCAUGGCCCUUACGUGUUGGGCUACACACGUGCUACAAUGGCAUCUACAACAGGAAGCAAAACGGCAACGUUAAGCAAAUCCCGAAAAGAUGCCUCAGUUCGGAUUGCACUCUGCAACUCGAGUGCAUGAAGCUGGAAUUACUAGUAAUCGUGGAUCAGCGUGCCACGGUGAAUGCGUUCCCGGGUCUUGUACACACCGCCCGUCACACCAUGGGAGUUGGUUCUACCUUAAGGCAAGGUUUUAAACCCUUGACCACGGUAUAGUCAGCGACUGGGGUGAAGUCGUAACAAGGUAGCCGUAGGGGAACCUGCGGCUG
rnacentral:rRNA from 1 species